GAUGAACGCUAGCUACAGGCUUAACACAUGCAAGUCGAGGGACCGGCGCACGGGUGAGUAACACGUAUCCACCCUGCCCUUUACUCGGGGAUAGCCUUUCGAAAGAAAGAUUAAUACCCGAUGUAAAGGAUGGGGGUGCGUUCCAUUAGGUUGUUGGUGAGGUAACGGCUCACCAAGCCUUCGAUGGAUAGGGGUCCUGAGAGGAAGGUCCCCAACAUUGGAACUGGGACUCGGUCCAAACCCUUACGGAAGGAAGCAGUGAGAAAAAUUGGUAAAUGGCGUUAGCCUGAACCAGCCAAGUAGCGUGAAGGAUGAAGGCUUAUGGGUCGUAAACUUCUUUUAUAUAAGAAUAUGUAUUAUAUGAAUAAGGAUCGGCUAACUCCGUGCCAGCAGCCGCGGUAAUUC
rnacentral:rRNA from 1 species